CCCCCGCGCUUACCUCCCGCGCCGGGCGCGGCCCGCCCCCCGCGGCGCCCAGUCCCUGCGCCGGCGGCCCUCUGCACCCGACCCUGGCGUCCGGCUCCCCCGGGCCCGCAUCCCGCGUAGCGGACCCGCGAUGGCCAAGCGCAGCUCGUUGUCCAUCCGCAUCGUGGAGGGGAAGAACCUGCCCGCCAAGGACAUCACCGGCAGCAGCGACCCCUACUGCAUCGUGAAGGUGGACAAUGAGCCCAUCAUCAGGACAGCCACUGUGUGGAAGACCCUGUGCCCAUUCUGGGGCGAGGAGUACCAGGUGCACCUGCCGCCCACCUUCCAUGCGGUGGCCUUCUACGUCAUGGAUGAGGAUGCUCUCAGCCGGGACGACGUUAUCGGGAAGGUCUGCCUGACCAGGGACACCCUGGCCGUUCACCCUAAGGGUUUCAGUGGGUGGGCGCACCUGACGGAGGUCGACCCUGAUGAGGAGGUGCAGGGUGAGAUCCACCUGCAGCUGGAGGUGGUGCCCGGGCCGCGGGGCUGCCGGCUGCGCUGCUCUGUGCUGGAGGCCAGGGACCUGGCCCCGAAGGACCGGAACGGUGCAUCUGACCCCUUUGUCCGAGUGCGCUACAGCGGCCGGACGCAGGAGACCUCGAUUGUGAAGAAAUCAUGCUACCCACGCUGGAACGAGAUGUUUGAGUUUGAGUUGGAGGAGGGGGCCACGGAGGCGCUGUGCGUGGAAGCCUGGGACUGGGACCUUGUCAGCAGGAAUGACUUCUUGGGCAAAGUGGUGUUCAAUGUCCAGAAACUGUGCGCGGCCCGGAAGGAAGAAGGCUGGUUCCGGCUGCAGCCCGACGACCAGUCCAAGAAGCGGCGGGGAGAGGGCAACCUGGGCUCCUUGCAGCUGGAGGUGCGGCUGCGGGACGAGACGGUACUGCCCUCCGGCUGCUACCAGCCCCUGGUGCAGCUGCUGUGCCGUGAGGUGAAGCUGGGCGCCCAGGGCCCAGGGCAGCUGAUAGCACUUAUUGAGGAGACAACGAGCACCGAAUGCCGCCAGGAUGUGGCCACCAACCUACUCAAGCUGUUUCUAGGACAGGGACUGGCCAGAGACUUUCUGGACCUGCUCUUCCAGCUGGAGCUGGGUCGUACCAGUGAAGCUAACACCCUGUUCCGGAGCAACUCUCUGGCCUCAAAGUCCAUGGAGUCUUUUCUGAAGGUGGCUGGAAUGCGGUAUCUGCACGGCGUCCUGGGCCCCAUCAUUGACAGGGUGUUUGAGGAGAAGAAGUACGUGGAGCUGGACCCCAGCAAAGUGGAAGUCAAGGAUGUAGGGUGCUCCGGGCUGCACCGCCCGCAGACCGAGGCCGAGGUGCUGGAGCAGAGUGCGCAGACGCUGCGCGCCCACCUGGCGGCGUUGCUGAGCGCGCUCUGUCGCUCCGUUCGCGCAUGCCCCGCCGUGGUCCGCGCCACCUUCCGCCAGCUUUUCCGGCGCGUGCGCGAGCGGUUCCCCAGCGCCCAGCACGAGAACGUGCCGUUCAUCGCCGUCACCAGCUUCCUGUGCCUGCGCUUCUUCUCUCCCGCGAUCAUGGCACCCAAGCUCUUCCACCUGCGGGAGCGGCAUGCGGACGCCCGCACCAGCCGCACCCUGCUCCUGCUGGCCAAGGCGGUUCAGAACGUGGGCAACAUGGACACGCCAGCUUCCAGAGCCAAGGAGGCCUGGAUGGAGCCGCUGCAGCCCACCGUGCGCCAGGGCGUGGCUCUGCUGAAGGACUUCAUCACCAAGCUGGUGGACAUUGAGGAGAAGGAGGAGCUGGACCUGCAGCGGGCGCUGAGCUUGCAGGCACCGCCAGUGAAGGAGGGGCCACUCUUCAUCCAUAGGACCAAGGGCAAGGGUCCCCUCAUGUCUUCCUUCAAGAAACUCCACUUUUCUCUCACCACCGAGGCCCUCAGCUUCGCCAAAACGCCUAACUCUAAGAAAAGCGCCCUCAUCAAGCUGGCCAACAUCCGGGCGGCAGAAAAGGUGGAGGAGAAGAGCUUCGGCAGCUCGCACGUCAUGCAGGUCAUCUACGAGGACGAUGCGGGCAAGCCCCAGACGGUCUACCUGCAGUGCAAGUGUGUGAAUGAGCUGAACCAGUGGCUGUCAGCGCUGCGGAAGGUCAGCAUCAGCAACCCUGGCCUGCUGGGCUCCUACCACCCUGGCGUCUUCCGCGGGGACAAGUGGAGCUGUUGCCACCAGAAGGACAAGUCAGAUCUGGGCUGUGACAAGACCCGGUCACGGGUGACUCUACAGGAGUGGAAUGACCCUCUCGAUCACGACCUGGAGGCCCAGCUCAUCUACCAGCACCUGCUGGGCGUGGAGCCCGCCCUGCGGUGGUCCCACCACGGGACCAGGAUCCACGGUCCCAACCACAGCGCCUGCCUGGAGAGCCCACUGUACCUCCAGAACCCCUUGGCCACCCUCCUCUCGUUUGCCCACCUCCUUGCCACCCACACCACUAGACCUCCUGCUCCACCAGCACCUCUGAUCCACUGACAAGGUGGCCUGUCCUUAGCCCCUGCUGUCCCUGCUUCCCGUGGCUGCUGUAACCAAUUACUGGACACUUGGUGGCCAGAAAACAGCGCAGAUGUAAUCUCCCGCAGUAAAUGUUGAAUAAGUGAAUGAGCGGAGCAGGUAAGGGCCCAGGCCGAGCCCCCAGGACCUAGAAGGCAUCUGAGGAAGAGGAACCCGUUAGAGCUUAGCACAGGGUCACAUCCCUUCUAAAACGGAUUAGGGAGACCAUCAAAAGGGCCCAGCCAGUCGAAUUUCCAGCUAAGGGACUUCAAACAUGGGGUCCACGUGGUGCUGUGCUCCCUCCAUGCAGGCUCACAGGAUUGUACCUGAGAGGGCCCAGGGGUCUCUAGUGGACCCCAGGUAAGAACCGUGCUUGAAAUAAUUGUCAGUUUCCUGUUCCCAUAAGAAAGAAGCUAGUUCCAGGGCCAGUUAAUUCUGGGGAUUUUCAGGCCCCAGUUGGUCCUUCUCCCCAGGGCAGUCUGUAACAGGAGGGGUGCCUUCUGUUGACCCCUCCCCCACCCCCCUUUUGGAAGUGGGGAGGAUCGGAGGAGGAGGCUGGAAGUGGAAAAGUGGCAGGGGAACCAAGACCUGGGGCUCGGUUUCUUCCUCACAGACUGAAAGGGUAAGUCCUCCACUCCCAGAACCCCCCUCCAGCUCAGGAGGCCCACACUGGGCCACCCAGCCUUCCUGGCGAGGCCACCAGGAGCCCUCACUCUGCCCUCCCCUGUAGGGAGAAGCACCGGGAGCUGAGCGCGGGCACAGAGGCAGGCUCCGUGCUCACAGGCCCUGGUGGAGCCCCUGAGGACCCACUGGGCCAGCUGCUGCAGGUG